AGAGUUUGAUCAUGGCUCAGGACGAACGCUGGCGGCGUGCCUAACACAUGCAAGUCGAACGAGGUCCAACCAGUGGCAACACCGGGAACGACCUAGUGGCGAACGGGUGAGUAACACGUGAGGAACCUGCCCCGAAGACCGGAAUAACCCGGGGAAACCCGGGCUAAUACCGGAUGCCCUGCGCUGAUCGCAUGGUCAGCCGAGGAAAUGUCUUUUCGCUUCGGGAGGGCCUCGCGGCCUAUCAGCUAGUUGGUGGGGUAACGGCCUACCAAGGCAUCGACGGGUAGCUGGUCUGAGAGGACGAUCAGCCACACUGGGACUGAGACACGGCCCAGACUCCUACGGGAGGCAGCAGUGGGGAAUCUUGCGCAAUGGGCGAAAGCCUGACGCAGCAACGCCGCGUGGGGGAUGACGGCUUUCGGGUUGUAAACCCCUUUCAGCAGGGACGAAAUUGACGGUACCUGCAGAAGAAGCCCCGGCCAACUACGUGCCAGCAGCCGCGGUAACACGUAGGGGGCAAGCGUUGUCCGGAUUUAUUGGGCGUAAAGAGCUCGUAGGCGGUUUGGUAAGUCAGGUGUGAAAACUCCAGGCUCAACUUGGAGACGCCACCUGAUACUGCCAUGACUAGAGUCCGGUAGAGGAGCGUGGAAUUCCUGGUGUAGCGGUGAAAUGCGCAGAUAUCNNAGGAACACCAGCGGCNAANNNGGCNCUCUGGGCCGGUACUGACGCUGAGGAGCGAAAGCGUGGGGAGCAAACAGGAUUANAUACCCUGNAGUCCACGCCGUAAACGUUNGGCACUAGG
rnacentral:rRNA from 1 species